rnacentral:misc_RNA from 1 species
GAUGAAGAACGUAGCGAAAUGCGAUACGUAAUGUGAAUUGCAAAUUCAGUGAAUCAUCGAGUCUUUGAACGCACAUUGCGCCCCAUGGUAUUCCGUGGGGCAUGCCUGUUCGAGCGUCAUUUACCCCCUCAAGCUCCGCUUGGUGUUGGGCGUCUGUCCCGCUUCGCGCGCGGACUCGCCCCAAAGGUAUUGGCAGCGGUCGUGCCAGCUUCUCGCGCAGCACAUUGCUCUUCUCGAGGCACCGGUGGGCCCGCGUCCAUCAAGCUCACCCCCCCAGUUUGACCUCGGAUCAGGUAGGGAUACCCGCUGAACUUAAGCAUAUCAAUAAGCGGAGGA